rnacentral:rRNA from 1 species
GAUGAACGCUGGCGGCGUGCCUCCCCCCUGCCAGUCGAGCGAGCGGCGGACGGGUGAGUAAUGUCUGGGAAACUGCCUGAUGGAGGGGGAUAACUACUGGAAACGGUAGCUAAUACCGCAUACCAUCAGAUGUGCCCAGAUGGGAUUAGCUAGUAGGUGGGGUACUGGCUCACCUAGGCUACGAUCCCUAGCUGGGCUGAGAGGAUGACCAGCCACACUGGAACUGAGACACGGUCCAGACUCCUACGGGAGGCAGCAGUGGGGAAUAUUGCACAAUGGGCGCAAGCCUGAUGCAGCCAUGCCGCGUGUGUGAAGAAGGCCUUCGGGUUGUAAAGCACUUUCAGCGAGGAGGCGUUACUCUCAGAAGAAGCACCGGCGAAAUCCGGGCCAGCAGCCGCGGUAAUUC